rnacentral:rRNA from 1 species
CAGCCGCCACGGGAAUACGAAGGGGGCUAGCGUUGUUCGGAUUUACUGGGCGUAAAGGGCGCGUAGGCGGACUGAUAAGUCAGGGGUGAAAUCCCAAGGCUCAACCUUGGAACUGCCUUUGAUACUGUUUGUCUUGAGUUCGAGAGAGGUAAGUGGAACUGCGAGUGUAGAGGUGAAAUUCGUAGAUAUUCGCAAGAACACCAGUGGCGAAGGCGGCUUACUGGCUCGAAACUGACGCUGAGGCGCGAAAGCGUGGGGAGCAAACAGGAUUAGAUACCCCAGUAGUCCCUGUCUCUUAUAA